UCCGCCGGUCGAGUUUUUUUUGGCAUAUGCCUAUGCCAAAUUCUGUAGGGAGCGCGCGCUGAUUUUGCAACAGGAAGGAAAAUGUGUUGAAAUCUGCCAUAUGUGUUUCUUCUCCAGGGGAAGACUACCAGUGGAGAAGAGCGCGGUAGUUCUCUUAUCCAAUCGUCUUCGAUAUGAAUCUUUUUUCCUUGUUUUUUAAAUUGCAAUGCAUGCUCAAUCUACAUCUUUCAACAGAUGCUAGACCACUGCAGGAGAACUCAUAAAACAGAAGGCUUCCUAUGUGAGCGAAAAGGUUGUGUAACCAGGACGGAGACGCUUGGAGAUGCGGGGCAGCACCACCAUUAUUGUCACGGUUGACCGCGGCAGGACGCCCGGAACAAGGGGAGUUGAUGGGCAGAAGUCGUGGAUUGGUGGCGCAGGUACCUGGAGGAUCACAGUCACCCACGAGCAGUUGGGACCGUCGGUGAUGUUUUCAUGAAGCUCAACUCACAUGAUCGGCUCAGGAACUGUAGUGCUAUGAAGCAUCUUUGUUGUGCGCC